rnacentral:lncRNA from 1 species
UAAUUGUUCCAUUGAUUUUGCUCUGGUGAGUUCUUCCCCAUAUACCUUUGAUGCUUUUGCCUCCAUACCUUCGAGCUGGUAUUUUUUUCAAGGGUUAUCAUGUUUUUGUGGUAGUGUGACUGGCUCAGAGUUUAUAAUCAUUUAUCUUCUUCAAUGAAUGUCUGUGCUAUGAUAUUCUGUAAGGCUAGGCACACACUAAGUUGGUUAAUGCUUUUGAUCUAGGUUGUUGGGAGAUAAUGAAACAAUAAUGUUUAUCUGCUCACAAUGCCUUAUAUUGAUUGUUCUGGAUAGGUAUUUUAAUCGUAAGAGAUGUCUCCAAAAAGGCAAAAACAACAAUUCACUGUUGAUUUACUUUUCUACGAUUGCUCCCAUUAGAUUGUCCUUAAAUCAUGUGCAAAGCUGAAGUAUUGUUCGCUGACUGUCAGCCUGACAGAUCAGAUGGGAUGAUGAUGCAGAGUGUUAAAAGGCCUAAUGGGUUAUCUCCUUGGUAGAUGAAGCUUGUUGGAUUGAUUUCAGGCCAUUGAAAACAGAUGACACCAUGCCUCCCCCAGUUAAUGAACAUGUGUCGCUUCCAAGUAAUAAUGAAUUUUCUACUCUCUCUGCUCUGCUGAACUUUCUUUUCUUUUGCCAUUUUGGCUGGUAGUCUUUCAUAGAAUUUUGUGAUAUCUACCUGACUCCACAAGGUCAUGCAACAUUAAGAAUUGCUGGGUUUGAAAAACACAUGAUGGAAUUGUUAAUUCAUUAUCUCUGUCUGAAGCAAGACAUUUUUGGUACACUGUUGAAUAGAGUUGAUGUAUCAGCAUAAGUAACAUUGCAACAUUCUAAGGGUUGGUGCUAAAAACCAACCUAGAAACCAUUGUUUUCCCAACAACUAUGUGGUUCAUAUGUUGAUAUGAUUGUUUACUGGUAGGACAACCAGGAGGUAGUGCAAUAUCCUUAUUAGUUAUACUCAGGGAUGCAAAAUCUUCACCUGAUGAUUCCACCCCUUUUUACAUGACACUAGCUGCCGCAUGGUAAAAGGUGUCUCGCCGAUGCUCUUUAUGACACCCGCUGACAGAUUAAUGAGUGCACUCAUAGAGAACAUAACAAGGUAUUUUAGGAAGUGCUUGGACUAGGUUCAAAUUUUUUACAGUUUUAGGCACGCUUUUUUUAAGUGUUGGUUUCAAGUUUUUCUUUCCGACACAGUUAGACUUUCUGAAAUACAGCCUUGAACUACACAUGAAACAAUAGUGUUUAUUUGGUCACCAGCAAGAUGAUGAUGUGAAACGAAUGACUUUGCGUCUUUCAGAGUUUCUACCAUUAAAUAGUUUCCCAUAACAGAAUAUUUGCUAAUAUUGGUAGCUAAAAAUGAGAUACUUAUGCUUGUUGAUGCAUUCCCUUUUUGUAGUAACAUCCAUGUGUCCAGCAUAUGUAGAAUAUUAGAUUUUUUGGCUGUUUAUUGUAGUUCGUUCUCAAGGUUUGGAAAAUUCUUUAGCUAUAUUCCUUGUCUCAAGCGAGCAUGAGCAAUAUCUUCUUUAUGCCGCAUGCCGCCAAUUUUCUCUAUUUUAGAUGGUUGUGUAUUUUCUCUUCUAAAAAGGGAUAUGUAUUUUAUUAAUCUGACUAUAAUUUGUGGUAGGUACAUACUGAAGGAUGUUCUGAGGCUAGCACCUGGUUUAGAAGUUUUGCAAUUCACAACAAUACCUCAUAAUUUUGAUUUGAUGUCCAGAAUGUCAAUUGAAGAAUGAGCAUAUGAACUGCAUUGUAUUUUGUAAUAUAUCCUUAUAUAUGGUGCUUGUGGUGUUUUGUUUUUGCAAUUAUAAGUUUACGUUUAUGGGUAUUAUAGAGUCCUUUCUUUUUCCACAAGGGGUAGUAGCCGUGCCAUUCGAUUCGAAGGACAAAGAGUUGAUCACAAAGGGGUAGCAC